ACGAAUGCAGCUGAAUUAGCUCUGCUCAAGUUCAGGAGCGAUGUUGAUUGGCGAUGCCAGCGUUCAAAAGCCGAUAGGUUUUGUCAUCUGGAUAGCCGCCAACUCCUCUGCACUCUUGUGCAAGCUGGCCAACAACAGUUGCCCGUGGCUGAGAAGGGCCGUUGGGUAGGUGGUUACCUCUCGUAGGUAAAACUUAUAGCCAUCAGUCUGGAAGUCUGCGGGUGACUGAGGAUAACUUGGCAGCGUAGGCCUCUGGCCUUGGGCCACUUCUGGUCGUUUGGGUACCGCUUCAGGGACUGCGUGCAGUGUCUGUUGACGGCUGUCUGCUCGGGCGGGAGACUGGUCACACCUU
rnacentral:misc_RNA from 1 species